CACUCAUCUCACAUGCUAGUAAAGUAAUUCUUAAAAUUCUCCAAACCAGGCUUCAGCAAUAUGUGAACCAUGAAAUUCCAGAUGUUCAAGUUGGUUUUAUAAAAGGCAGAGGAAUCAGAGAUCAAAUUGCCAAUAUCUGCUGGAUCAUCAAAAAAGCAAGAGAGCUUCAGAAAAACAUCUAUUUCUGUUUUAUUGACUAUGCCAAAGCCUUUGACUGUGUGUACUGGGGUCCAGCCCUGGUAGGAUCCAGGGAAUCCCUCAGGAGGAUGGCAUCAGUGAAUAGGGAAAGUAAAAGGGGAGAGAAAGAGGCUUGAUCUUCCUUGGUUUACACAGAAAGCCAAUAAAGUCCAAGACACUGGACUUGCUCUGUCUACGGAGGCCACAGGAGCCCUCUCGGUGGGGUGAAGACGCAGGGCGCCCUUCCCCUGAAGACGCUAGGCACCUUCCAGAUUGAGUCUUAGAAACCCGGGCAGAUAAGUGGACUCAGAGAGCCCCUGUGCUCCAAGUAGUCAUCCUGAAAGAAGAACAGAGAGAGAAAAGGAGAGAAAAGGGAAAAAGAAUGACACGCGGAGACCAAGCUCUGAUGAAGCCAGCUCCGUAGCUUUAUUUUCAAAAGGACCUUUUAUACCCCAAGUUGUACAUAGAGGAUAAUAGGGGGUAUAGAGCCAUGAAAGGUCAGCAGUCCUUGAUCCUUAUCGAGACCAGGUUUCUUUCUGCAAACUUACCAUAUACAAAGGCUUUAGGUGAUUUACAUCAUCUUCUGGCCAGGAGGCAUGUUAACAUUUUUCUUCUGAUAAAGCUGAGUCAACCAGAAAAACUUAUUUUCUCCAAAGGUGAUUUACAUCAUCUUCUGGCCAGGAGGCAUGUUAACAUUUUUCUUCUGAUAAAGCUGAGUCAACCAGAAAAACUUAUUUUCUCCAAAGGUGAUUUCUUUAAAGUUUGGCAACACUUUCUGAAAGCACUAGAUAAAGUUGCAUUCCUAUAGGGCAAAGUGCAGUGGGGGAUGACAAGGAAAGAAUUUAUUAACUCAAGGGUCUAAGGAGGUUAACAUCAAGGUUACUACUUAUAUUUCUAUAUACCAACUAUAUUAAUUAAUAUACUCACAAGGACACAAUGGGUAAGGGAUAUAGAAACUUGGCAGCAAGCAUUAGCUCAAGAAUGAAAUCCUCCAUCAGUUCUGUUCUAAUAAUUUUAACUCCCUGAGAAGCUCUAUAUUGUUUGAAUAUCUUAAGCUUCCUGUGCCUCUCGCGGUUGGGAGGAUGUAAACAAUCAUAUGCGUAGCUGUGGGAGUCUGGAUAAACCUGUCAGGCAAGUUAGAAAGCUAUCUGAGGGAUUUGAAUUGAAACACUCCUAUUGUGCCCAGGAGACUUAUUAACUAGAGCUCUAAGUUGAUGUCCUUCAGAGAAAGGUGGUCGGGGAUAGCUUCCCAUUAAUGUCAGAGGAGUUGGUGCAAGUCAUAAAAUAGUAAGACAGACAGAUUCUGGUUUUGGGGUAGAUGCUCGAGCAGGUCCAGGGGGUCCCUUGAGUCCUGCCUGACUCGCCUUUGCCUUCAGGUCCUCUCUGCAUGACCUUUGUUAUGGGUGGGAUCUCCCAUGCUGGUUCCCGGCAUGUGUGGAUCACAAUAAACUGAGGAAAAUUCUUCA
rnacentral:lncRNA from 1 species